GGCUCAGGACGAACGCUGGCGGCGUGCCUAACACAUGCAAGUCGAGCGAUGAAGCCCUUCGGGGUGAAUUAGCGGCGGACGGGUGAGUAACACGUGGGUAACCUGCCUUAUAGAGGGGGAUAGCCUUCCGAAAGGAAGAUUAAUACCGCAUGAAAUGUUUUUAUCGCACGGUAGAAACAUCAAAGGAGUAAUCCGCUAUAAGAUGGACCCGCGGCGCAUUAGCUAGUUGGUGAGGUAACGGCCCACCAAGGCGACGAUGCGUAGCCGACCUGAGAGGGUGAUCGGCCACAUUGGAACUGAGACACGGUCCAGACUCCGUACGGGAGGCAGCAGGUGGGGAAUAUUGCGCAAUGGGGGAAACCCUGACGCCAGCAACGCCGCGUGAAUGAAGAAGGCCUUAGGGUUGUAAAGUUCUGUUUUCUGGGACGAUAAUGACGGUACCAGAGGAGGAAGCCACGGCUAACUACGUGCCAGCAGCUGC
rnacentral:rRNA from 1 species